rnacentral:lncRNA from 1 species
GGCCGUUAUUUCGAGCCCUGCCAAUAUCUUAUCGCUCGUUAGUAAAAAAGAAAUUUGUCACUUUCCUCAUGUAAACCUUUUUCAAAAAACUGGCAUCGUUUGUCUUGGGGUUAGGGGGUACAAAUGGUACCUAUAGCUUAGAGGGUGCAAAUGGUACCCGUAAGAAGACUUGGUGGAAAUCAUGUUGGUCGUUUGGAUCGGCGAGAAUAAGACAAUUAUGGUGGCAAAGUUUUUUUUAAACAUUUUCUCUCCCGUAGUAAGGUAAAGCACGUAUUUUCCUGGUAGCCGGUCUUACUUCAUGAAAAAACAGUCCGCUACCAGUGACUAGGUCCCCUCUCUUAUGGCGGUCAUUGCGGCUCAAUACCUUCAGGGAUAUUCCUUUUCAGGGCGGUUGCAUGCGGAUAAUAUGGUCCGUCGCGUGCGCAAAAUAGUUAGGGAGAUAGACAGUUUAGAGGCGUUGAAACUGCGCAAUAUACACUCGCACGAAACGUUGCCAUUUUGCAAUUUGAAUCUGGGUUGUGCGUUCCUGGCAAAGGCUUCAGAUUCAAGUUGUUGCGACAUUUACAAGCACAUUAAGUGUAAAUACGGCCUUAUUUUUAAUGAAAAGACCGCCAGGGGUAGAGUGUUUUUAUGUUGGUUUGUUAAGGAGCAAACUCGCUUUUGAAAAAAAUAAAUAUGUAUUAAUUUCGAUCCAGAUUUGUUCCUGAACAGGGUCGCCAUGAAAACACUCUGUAUGUUAAUAAGUUGCUAUGCUGGGGUUGCGUACAAUCGGUACCCACACGAUGUGUGCCAAUUUUAAAUGAAUAACUAAUAUGUAUAAAUACGGCGUGCACACGAAGUUUUUUUCGCACGAUGUUCUGGUUUUAACUUUGGGGAAAAUAAUAAAAAAGCAGUGUCCGUGGUCGGGGCUGAAUAGUACUGUGGAAGAUUGGGUUGGAAAAUUUGCAAUUAAGUCUGUAUUUUUGGG